AAAUCAUGUUGAGGUAAAUUCCUAAGCAAUCCCUUGUAUCUUUCCCAAGCUUCAGAUAAAGACUCAUCAUCCUUUUGAUGGAAGUUAGCAAUCUUCUUUUUGAUUUU